GCCAAUGUUUUGUCCAAGUAAAAUCCUAUGAUCUGAAGUGCAUAAAUUAAGAAGUUCACCAAUCUGAACCAUCAGGGAAAGGAUUCAGUGCAUCCUGCUUUCCAUUGACGUAGAAGUCGACCACGGCUUUCAUUCGAGGAAACUUAUCGGGAUGGUAAUUCACAUGAACAAUGACUGGCUUCAACUUUUUCAGAUUAUCAUCCUUCCUUACAGUCUUGAAUAGAACCUUACUAUUCAUGAAAAGAUAGAAAUCCAUAGUUCUCCUAGAGGCAUAAAGCCCCUCGUAGUUUGAAUGCGAAGGGAAAAACAGUUCCUCAUUGAAAACAGCCUGGUCCCAG
rnacentral:misc_RNA from 1 species